UACGAAGGGGGCUAGCGUUGUUCGGAAUUACUGGGCGUAAAGCGCACGUAGGCGGAUCGUUAAGUGAGGGGUGAAAUCCCAGGGCUCAACCCUGGAACUGCCUCUCAUACUGGCGAUCUCGAGUUCGAGAGAGGUGAGUGGAAUUGCGAGUGUAGAGGUGAAAUUCGUAGAUAUUCGCAGGAACACCAGUGGCGAAGGCGGCUCACUGGCUCGAUACUGACGCUGAGGUGCGAAAGCGUGGGGAGCAAAC
rnacentral:rRNA from 1 species